CUGAUCCAAUGUCGAUACACUCGUUGUCUUGGUCGUCUUCUGGAGGCUCACUGACUACCGUAAAGUGAACGCUAAUGAGAUGAAAGGACAUGCUACCAGCGUGUGAUUAUUGAGGAUUUGAUCAUCCAGAAUGAAGACUAACAAGCAAGAAGCAACUUGUCUACCUGACCCCACCACGCAGCCAUAAG